UUUGUUAUGAAACCUCCAUAACCUCUCUCAAAAUAGCUCCAAUUUUCAUGCUUUUGUGCACUUUUGCAUAGAACCUUUGUGCUCUUUCACUCUCUCACUUUAAAACCCUUGAAGAUCUUACUUCUAUACUUUCACUCACUAGCUAGGUGUUUAGAGAGAGAAAGAGGGAACUUCUAAAAUAGCUUGGAGGAAUUUUAAAAAGGAAUUUCAUUAUAAUCCACCAAGGUGAGUGAUGAAUUAGGAGUGGUUUUAAGUUGUUGAUAAUGGCUAGUAAUUGAAGUAAUGAGUUAUGUUAUUGCUGAAGUUGUUUAUCUAUUUCUAGUGUUACUAGAGAAGAGAAACUAAAAAGCUAAUCAAAUGGUAAUGGGAAGGUAGAUAGAAAGGGCUAUUGAAGUUUGAUUUGGGAAAUAGCUUUUGGAGCAAUAUUAAUGUAAAUUGGAUUGGCUGUGAUGUUUUUGGUGUGAUAGGUUCCAACGAGGCCCCUCAACCCCAAUUGGACCAUUAGGGAAGUUAGAGUCGACUAAAGGUUCAACAAAUA
rnacentral:lncRNA from 1 species